AAUGAAACAUCGGCGAUAAAAUUCUGUUCGAAACAAUUUGACCUUGACCCCGCUGUAGAUGUUUGUAACAGACUGGUCAACAUCAGUAAAGUAAACUUUCUUGAUGAAUGUAUCGCAGAUAUAAAGAUUUCUGGAAAUACGACUUUCAUACAAGACACUUUAGAUACACUGAAAGGUUCUUGUCUGACAGAAGCAACGAGAAACGAAGUUUUUUACGUAAACCAAUCGUCUGAAACCAAUGGAUUGACUCUCUUUGAUUAUAUUUCAUCAUUUUUAUGUCCUGGCAACUGUUCCGGAAAUGGACAAUGCGUGAAUGCCACGUGUUCGUGUUUUGAUGGUUUUCUUGGUUCCGAUUGUUCUGGAAAACUCACUGUUCCCCCAAAAGAUUUUUUCCUACCAUUGAAUGGAUUGUGUGAUAUCAGUUCCAGGGAGUGUCUCAAAACGAACAUCAUGGGAUUUUUUGACGUGGAGA